rnacentral:tRNA from 1 species
GCGCCGGUAGCUCAGCUGGAUAGAGCGUCUGGCUACGGACCAGAAGGCCGGGGGUUCGAAUCCUCCCCGGCGCGCCA